rnacentral:pre_miRNA from 1 species
UCUUUUGGAUGAGUGAAGAAAGUGGUUUCUGGAGAUGGAAAUUACUCUUGCUGACGAUGCUGUGAA